rnacentral:pre_miRNA from 2 species
GGUCUCUGUGUUGGGCGUCUGUCUGCCCGCAUGCCUGCCUCUCUGUUGCUCUGAAGGAGGCAGGGGCUGGGCCUGCAGCUGCCUGGGCAGAGCG